GGCUGCAUUUGGAGACAGACCUCUUUGGUUGGGCAUUUUCCUGGCAUUGUGGGGCUGCCUUUUGCGCUCCAUUGCCGGGGCCGGCCAGGAGGAGCAGAGGAAAGUUUGCCGUGGAAUGAAGAGACAGACCAGCCAGGACCACAAACCGGGCCGUCUAUGGAGAGAGGCGGCAGACAGCCAUGGGCGAGCUGCAUAGCAGGCAGCUAUGCCAGGAAGAAACGCAUGCCCCAUGUAGCCAAAUCUCCCAGACCUUCAAAAGAAAAAAAACAAGAUUACAGAAGUGAUACACAGCCUGGGAGAAGAUGGUGAUUGGCACGAAGGAGAGCCUCAACUCGCCCACGGCCCUACCCCCCAGGGCCCCCCUGGGAAGACUUUGAUGGGCGUGUAUAUCUCCUACCUCCUGACACUGUUGUGCCACACAACUUUAGGGCGCUAAUGUUGCAGAUCUUAAGGUCAAAAGGGGAUAUUUAGUUGCAAAGAGCCCUAGAUUCCAAGA